rnacentral:lncRNA from 1 species
UAUGCACUGGUGUUAACACUGACUGCAUUAGCUGCAAACCCACCCACGAGCAGCUCUUUAAUCUCCCUUCAGAGAGCCAAUGAACAGCUUGCUGCCUCGUUAUAUGAUGCAGACUGGAGGCAAAUCAACCCCCUGUAACUCCAAUUCCUACAACACUCAUUCACCCAAAACACUUACAAAAUUUAAUUACAGCUUUAUUCUGAAAAUCUGUCUAUUCAUUUCUUUGAUAGUGGAAGUGAAAAGAUGAAGGAGGAUUUGAGGAAUCUCGUAAUAAGUAACCAGAAGUGAAACAACUUAGGAUUCUCCUCCAUGGACCUGUUGGUGCAGGGAAGUCCAGCUUCAUCAAUGCCAUAGAUAGCAUCUUUCAGGGGCGGAUGGCCUGUGCUUCAUUGGCAGAGGCAGCAACAGCAGGGACAAGUUUCACUAAAGUAGUAAGUGUCAUUCUUAAAUUCUGUUCUAUAAUACACAAACAGAAAGAAACAAUGGAGUCCCUUAAACCAUUUUGUUG